AGGCUCACAGAAAGGCAUUCAAGUGGACAUCUUGGAAAUGUAUUGGUCCAUUCAUGGAUCCAACACCCGUUGUGAAUCUUGCCGUUCAGCUAUCUGUUGGAGACCAGCAAGUUGUCUAAAAAGUACUGAAACAUUGAAUAGUUGCACGCACGUUCAAAAGUUCAGAGAAAAUCAAAUUAAGUACGCCUUUAAAGUUUAAAGUGCAUUUUAAAUUCAUGCCGAAAUUUUACCCCAAAGCUGGAUGUCAAUGUUUUGUCUGUAGUAUAUAAUAUACUGCAUAUUGUAUCCUCCAACAUGACCUGUGCUAAAUAUUAGUUUGUUUAAAUAUCUCUUGAAUAUUGUUAAUCCUAAGUGAUUAUUAAAGACAUAGUUUUACAUGACCCUGUAGCUAUACCUGAAAAUCUGCUUUCCCAACAUCUUAAAACGGAGUGUUUGGACAGCUACAUAACACCACGUUGACUCAUGACCUUCCCUUUCGCUGCACUUGCUUUCCCACCCCCACUGACACUACGCUCUUUGGCAUGCCCCACUGGAUUUACUGGUAUCACUGUUCACACUUUCACGGUCAUGUGAUACCGACCCAAAGGUGACGGCGUGGCUCCUUUCUUCGGAGGUUUGAGGUGUUGCCAUGGCGACCGGGACGUGACGAUUCAGGCUGGAAAAACCUGUGAUGGAGGAUCCAUUCUCCGCAGCAAUUUUGUGGGAUUGAUAAUGCUCCGGUGUGGUUCCUGAUUGCACCUUGAGCAUAUUGACAAGGGUGAGGAAAGGUCUCGGCGAUACCACACCCUGCCGACGAGGUGACGCCUCUUCGGCUCAUUGGAGUGACACUGAUCUUACCCAGAGGAGCACUCAAAGGACAGAGCGAGGGUUGAAUGAAAGGGAACGAACAGGACGUGGUUCAUGCUGCGGGAAAAGAAUGGAUUCUCUGAGGAUCUUUUCUGCCUGUGCCAGCUCGAGACUCGUGAGCUCAGCUAAGCGUUGCUGCUUUCACAGGAUGUCUCAAGCGGUGACCAUAAAUGACAAUAUCCUAGGUUUAGGCAUUGUUUGUGUUGACAUAUUCAAUGCUCUGGAUAAAUAUGCGGCAGUCCACAGAGUCAGCCGAAUGCCUCGAAUACCUCUCCUUUGUCUGCUCCAAGGGGUACUGCUUGGCCGGUUGCUAUGGUAACAAGGCUUGCCGACGCACGCAGACGCACAAGCGCGCUGCGACCACCGGUGGAGUCUGUAAAACGUUGCCUAGCAACCAAACAAACUAUCUCAGCCAGGAAAAAAAAAAAAAAAAGAAGAAGAAAAACAGCCGACUUGUGGACAUGUUGAGGAGUAAAGGAGCGCCGCACGUUCAAGCGUUUACCGUUAAGGCUGCCAUGAAGAACUCCGUGGUGGCAGGCCCCCCUCCGGCAGGGGCUUUUCAGGAGCGGCCCUCCAAGCCCACCGUGUUUCGGAAGUUCUAUGAGCGCGGGGAGUUCCCCAUGGCACUGGAGCACGACACCAAAGGCAACCGCAUCGCUUGGAAGGUGGAGAUUGAGAAGCUGGACUAUCACCACUUCCUGCCUCUGCUCUUCGACGGUUUAUGCGAGACGGCACACCCGUAUGAGUUCUUCGCCCGCCAGGGCAUCCAUGACCUGCUGGAGCACGGCGGACCCAAGAUUCAGCCCGUCAUCCCGCAGCUAAUCAUUCCCAUCAAGAAUGCCCUAAACACUAGGAACCGUCAGGUGAUCUGCACCACCCUGAAAGUUUUGCAGCAUCUUGUGAUGUCCGGCGACACGGUGGGAGAAACCCUGGUGCCCUACUACCGACAGAUCCUGCCCAUCCUCAACAUCUUCAAGAACAUGAACAUGUGACCGAAGAAAAACAACCAUCCCUUGUUUGCCAACAACUAGGCAUAAGACUAGUAAACAGAAGAAGCUGAGAGGAUUCAGAAGCAGUGGGGAAUUUCGGCUUCAAAGGAGAUAUCUAUCUAUCAGGCAAUCACGGCCCGCCGACACUCCCCUCCGCCGUUAAAAUACUGCAAGAAGCCGAGAGCCAUAAGGCCAGGGACGACUGGAGAGAUGAAAUCCAGGUCCGCCGCCUCCAAUCAGGUACGAGCGGCAUCCCUCGGGCCUUGGCGGCUUCAAUUUAAAGGCCAGCCGAUAAGCGGGCAGAUUCAUGCAUAAUCUGAGCGUAGACACUUUGGCUGCGUUGACCCUCUUGGACGCUUCACUCCGGGCAGACUGCAAUGGACGUGCCUCAUUUUUCACAGUGGAGUUCCAAAUAACAUCUUAUUGUAUUAUUUUUCUUCUUUAUUCUUUAGGAGGAUUGUUUGACUGUGUUUUUUUUAAUUUGGCGCCCAUUAAUUUGUACAUCCGCAGCAGAGUGGGGAAUAGAGCACCGAGGCUGGCAGCGAGCAGACUUGAAAUGAAAUUGAAUGUGGUGUCUGUGUGCAGGCGCUUUGAAAGCCCGACAAAGCACUACUUUGAUUGCAUGCUGCAGCGUGUGGAGGCAGGCCAGCAGCACAAUUAAAUAGCCCCUCACUCAACGGACAAAUGGUAAACAACGUUGCGACUGUUGGAUUUAUGCUACUUUCUUUCCUGGCAAUUCACUUUCAACUCUUUGUAAUCUUCAUUUAUUUAAUAGAAUACAUCUAAGGAAAUAAAGUUGUGAAGUUGCGGUGAGACACUGCCUCAAUACACAUCAGUAAAUCAGUGGAUAGUUUUUUAUAGUUUUAUAUAGUUACAGGCCCAAGUGUGCAUCAAGAAAAUGACACAGGUUUUAUUCCUAAAAGGUAUAUUUAAUAUUAUUGUAAGCCACUAUAAAAUUAUGCACAGUUUGAAAAUAAAAUUCAGUGAUUCUUACAUACAACUAGAGUGAGCCCGUGUACCACUGUACAAACAAUAAAUACACUUUUUUUUUCGGAACUGUCACACAAGUUAACCACUAUAAUAUAUGAAUGAAAGCAAUAAAACUACAUUUUUCAUUGGGUAAAAAAAUAACCACAAUUAAUACUGUAUUUAGGUCACAGCAAUACAACUCUACUAUGUCAUUUUAAGCAUUCUUAAUUGCCACACAAGUGUAAAUUAGAAGUUAACCAUGUUCAUAUUGAGAUGUAAAAACAACAAAACUACUACAUUUCAUUUUUUUCCUUCAUUGUAAGUGGAAAAAGAUGGAAAAACAACUAAAGCAGUUUUUAGAACAAGUGGCUAUAAAAGUGAGUCCAGUUCAUGUGACCUGCUUAGUUUCAUCUUCUUAAGGUCACCUAGUUCUUUCUGAAUAACUACAAAAAAAAAACAUGCACAAAGAGUAAAGCCCUUGAUGCUGAGGUCUCGGAAUUUCUUUUUGGGGUGUGUAGAGUUUUGACUAUAAUGAGCGUGGCUCCUUGUGAUCCAAGACGUGGUGGUCUAUUACUGAAGUGGAGGAGUUGAGGGUACUUUUCCUCUCGCCAUUGCCUUUAAUCUCCAUUAGGCUCACGCAGUUUGUCACUAAUCCACGGCGGCUACUCUGACACCCAUUCGUCCAUUGAGAGUUUUGCGACCAACGUCGGCAUGUAUGCCUGUUUAUUUAUGAAUGUGUGUGGUUCCCUAGUACAUCAUCAUGGGUGACAUCUCUGCGGGCAGCUAGCAAUAGCGCUGUGGCGUGUGUGUGCGCGUGUGUGUGUUCUGAGACAGUUUGCCCUUCCUGCUUUAGAUCAGCGCUCGCACCCUGCUCCAGGUUGCCUUGUCAGCUUCCGUAAAGACACACCUCCACACGCUGGCUCGCGUAGGGGCCACUCAUCAUCGUCCCAUAAGGGCUCCCGAAGAGAGAAUUUGACGCUGAUUGUUAGUGUCAUGCUGUCCCAUGCCUAAUUUAGUCCAUUUAAAGGGGACAUAUUAGGGAAAUGUGACUUUUGAAUGGCUUGUAUGCAAAUAUUGGGUCCCUGGAGUGGAAGUGCGUUCUGUCUGUGAUCGACCUGUUUUGCAUUUCCGCCACACUAUGAUGUAACAGCGGGGCAUAUUUGCAUAAUAAAGGUCUCCCAAGCCAAGUUUUUCAGUCCAUGACUCGGAAGCUAGGCUGGCCGAAGGUCCAGAGCCACUUUCAAGCGACAAAGAAUUCGCCAGCGGCCAGUGUGAUUAAUUUGCAGUCUGAACGCAGAGGGAUGACACACGACUUCAAAGCCAAAAGGUGCUUCAGUAAGUGCUGCUGUUUUUGGUUAGCAACGGCUCAGCAGUCAACUAUUUAAAGACCCUGUUAAGAAAAAAAAUAAUAUUUCAAAUAAAUUUGACAUACCACAGAGAUGAGUUUUGUAAACAGCGCUGCCUAAUUUGAAUGAUUAAAAAAAGUAUAGUAUACUAAAAGUAUAAAUCGGCAAGUAUAUGAAAGAUAGCUUACAAAGUGUUCAAAAAUCACAAUUGUUAACUGUCAUUGAAAUACCACUACUGUAGCCAAGGGGUUCGCAUACCUUUUCCACCCUACACUGUGAAUGUUCACAUCAUGUAAAAUAAAAAAUAAAAAAUGGUAUGAUAUCAGCUUAA